UGUAUAUUAUAUUAAACGAAUGUCAACUAGGAAUGUUUAAAUAAUACUAAGUUACCAACAGUGAAUAAGUUGGUCCAGGUAGUUGAUGGCGUCAACGUCAACUCAGAAAGUGCCUUGUGGAAGGUGCCAUUGUAUUUCUCCGUACACGAGUUCCAGUGCCCCUACAGUUCCAAAAAAGGAACUGAGCAAAUUUUCUCGUUUAUUUGUGAAAUGAUUUUUUUAUUUCACAUCAUACAACAGUUCGUGCAUUCUUUGGUUUAAUCUUGUAUUAAAAUUCUGCUUACUUUUCUCAGCUCCUUGGAUUACCUGUCGGAGUUUGAUGCGAAGUAUUUCUAAUGAUCCAGUAGUUUCAAAAUUAGUUCAGAGAGCUUCAAAAAGAUCAUCAUGAUCUUGGAGUGAUAAGAAACGAAUAGAUUUAUUUUUUUCUCCUUCAAUUUUCUCUGCAAUAAUCCAGCCUAAUAAAACUUCUAGAUUGGUGCACUGUGAUGUAAUUUUUUUUAAAAGAGUGAUGAAGGUUUUAACUCCCAUAUCGUCUUGUCCAUUGAAAUUUUUUAUUUAUUCAACCGCGUCUGUCGCAGGGCUAUUUUCGCUUGUGGUUGUUACUCUUUCAUUCGAGCUUUGUGGAAGCCUGUCUCUUGCCAGGAUGGCUUCAUUUUAGGUUGUUCGUUUUUCGUUCGACAACCUUCGAGGAAUCGUAGGUUUAAUUUGUUCUUGCCGUAACAACCGUUUUGAUUAUAAUGCUAAGAUCGCGUCAUCGUAACCUACUUGACAUUCCUCAUUCGUUCUCCCUUUCGCUUUCGUCCGAAGUAGCCAAAUAAAAAUUGUUUGCUACAGAGCGAAUUUUUUGCUUAUGACUAUUUAUUUCGGGUUCCAUGUUAGACAUUCGAUCCGAUAAUUUGUUUAGCAUGCCAAUUAUAUCUGCAUUAGUAGGUAGAAGGGGUUUAUUCGCCGUUUCUGACGAUGAGUUUUCCUUAAUUUCGUCUGUCAUUGUGUUCUUCGUAUUAGUGUGAGCAUCAUAGUGCACCGAAUUUAUAGAGUUUCUUAUUUAUGUUAAUGGAUAUCGGGUGGUGUAUCGCGCCGUGUUAUCUAAUCUCUAUAUUGUUCGAUACAAUGAAAUGCUCGCGUAGGCGUACAGUCCUUGACGACGUAAACCGUCCAGCCGGUGACUAUUUUCUAAUUUAAAUUUAUUAUUUGAAACGAAAGUGCUACAGAACACUGCUUAUAUGAAAUUUGUCCUCUUUAUUUAACUCAAUUAAGAUUCCCAGUAAAGAUCUACUGCAAUCCCAACGAUGCCAACUUGGUUAAGUGACUUCUCGCCUUCGAGACUAAUUUUUCAAGACAAGGAACUACUGUGAACCUGCUUAGCUCAGCCCAGUUCAUGAAAUAAUAAUUUUUAUGUGCAAGCCUGCUCCUGCCAAUUACUUUGGGUAAAGCUCAUUCAUCGCAGAUUUUUAUAAGCUUUCCCACAAUUGAAAAAAAUAUUUUCAUCUAUAGCCGAUACUAUGGUACUUCAAUUUAGAAGGAAUCUGUACUGUCGUAGGAGAACCGUGAAAAUGGAAAAUCAGCACUAUGGAUCUAAGUUAACUCUUCAAGUACCAGAAAAUUCUUAACGUUUUUUAAGACUCUAACCAUUAAGCCUCUAAAGAGAUCGAUGGAGGUACCUUUUUCAGAAAUACACGCUUUCCUUAGCGUGAUCGAUUGCUACCUUCUUCUAUGAUAGUACAGAUUCCUUAUAAAAUUGAAGUAUAUAAAACGUAACUCCUUAUUAAAGACAGCGUGUAUUUACGAAAAAAGG